GUCGUUUCUUGCCCGGGUUGGGAAAGUACACUUCAAAGAAGGCACUACUUUGGACUCCAUAAGAAAGGCCGCAGUUGCUGAAGCAAAUUGGAAUACAGUGCACAAAUCAUUUAACACUGAUGUUUCUGAUGCCUACAUGGAAGACAUACAACAUAAAGUUGUCCCGAAAACUGAAUUAGGUUUUGAGUCAGCGAAAGAGCUUUACCAUGUCAAGGUGUAUGAUAAGUCUCGACCUGAUUCGACUAUCUCAUGCAAGUGUACUG
rnacentral:misc_RNA from 1 species